rnacentral:rRNA from 1 species
GACGAACGCUGGCGGCGUGCUUAACACAUGCAAGUCGAACGGUAAGGCCUUUCGGGGUACACGAGUGGCGAACGGGUGAGUAACACGUGGGUGAUCUGCCCUGCACUUUGGGAUAAGCCUGGGAAACUGGGUCUAAUACCGAAUAGGACCAUGGACUUCACGGUUUGUGGUGGAAAGCUUUUGCGGUGUGGGAUGGGCCCGCGGCCUAUCAGCUUGUUGGUGGGGUAAUGGCCUACCAAGGCGACGACGGGUAGCCGGCCUGAGAGGGUGACCGGCCACACUGGGACUGAGAUACGGCCCAGACUCCUACGGGAGGCAGCAUUGGGGAAUAUUGCACAAUGGGCGAAAGCCUGAUGCAGCGACGCCGCGUGAGGGAUGACGGCCUCGGUUGUAACCGUCUUCUAGCAGGGAAGAAGCGAAGUGACGGUACCUGCAGAAGAAGACACCGGCUAACUACGUAGCCAGCAGCCGCGGUAA